rnacentral:rRNA from 1 species
AAUUGGAGGGCAAGUCUGGUGCCAGCAGCCGCGGUAAUUCCAGCUCCAAUAGCGUAUAUUAAAGUUGUUGCAGUUAAAAAGCUCGUAGUUGAAUUUCGGGAUUGACGUGAUGGUCGUGCCUUAAGGGGUAUGAACUGUCGCAGUUGAUCUCUCACCUUCUGGAGAAGCAUGAUGUCCUUAAUUGGGUGUCAUGUGGAACCAGGACCUUUACCUUGAAAAAAUUAGAGUGUUUAAAGCAGGCAUUUUGCUCGAAUACAUUAGCAUGGAAUAAUAGAAUAGGACGGCAUGGUUCUAUUUUGUUGGUUUCUAGGAUCACCGUAAUGAUUAAUAGGGAUAGUUGGGGGCAUUAGUAUUCAAUUGUCAGAGGUGAAAUUCUUGGAUUUAUUGAAGACUAACUACUGCGAAAGCAUUUGCCAAGGAUGUUUUCAUUAAUCAAGAACGAAAGUUAGGGGAUCGAAGACGAUCAGAUACCGUCGUAGUCUUAACCAUAAACUAUGCCGACUAGGAAUCAGACGAUGUUAAUUUUUUAAUGACUCGUUUGGCACCUUACGGGAAACCAAAGUGU